AGUGUCUGGUGGGUAGUUUGACUGGGGCGGUCUCCUCCUAAAGAGUAACGGAGGAGCACGAAGGUUGGCUAAUCCUGGUCGGACAUCAGGAGGUUAGUGCAAUGGCAUAAGCCAGCUUGACUGCGAGCGUGACGGCGCGAGCAGGUGCGAAAGCAGGUCAUAGUGAUCCGGUGGUUCUGAAUGGAAGGGCCAUCGCUCAACGGAUAAAAGGUACUCCGGGGAUAACAGGCUGAUACCGCCCAAGAGUUCAUAUCGACGGCGGUGUUUGGCACCUCGAUGUCGGCUCAUCACAUCCUGGGGCUGAAGUAGGUCCCAAGGGUAUGGCUGUUCGCCAUUUAAAGUGGUACGCGAGCUGGGUUUAGAACGUCGUGAGACAGUUCGGUCCCUAUCUGCCGUGGGCGCUGGAGAACUGAGGGGGGCUGCUCCUAGUACGAGAGGACCGGAGUGGACGCAUCACUGGUGUUCGGGUUGUCAUGCCAAUGGCACUGCCCGGUAGCUAAAUGCGGAAGAGAUAAGUGCUGAAAGCAUCUAAGCACGAAACUUGCCCCGAGAUGAGUUCUCCCUGAC
rnacentral:rRNA from 1 species